AAGUGGGGGUGAAAAUGUUAAUUUCACUCUGAAUAGAAUUAUGAUUUUCGAUGUUUUGAAAGAAAAUACUGCAUAAUUUAUACGAUCAUCUGAAAUUAGACAUACCAAAAGUUCACUCUUUUAUUCUCAAGAACUAAAUAUAUGUAUUUAUGCAUCAUGAAUGAACUUGUAGCAGUGAGGAAAAUCCCUCUUCUCUCUCUCUCUCUCUCUCUAUGGUUCAUAGUUGUUUCCCAAGUAAAAAAGGGCUCUGAAAUCUGCAUCCAAAGAAAGUGUGCCUCAAAGCACCAACCCCUAUGCAAAUUGACUCACACCUCUCAUUGACCAUCCUCAUUUUCAGAGCUCAGACUUCAAGGUUACGCCACAUCCAAUUAAAAAACAGACAAUCCUCACACAAGUUUCAUUGAAUGAAAAGGGUGCCAAAAGGGGUGAAAAAGGAAGCUGCAUCAGAUCUUUGUGUUUACCUUUGUCUAUUAGGCUUUGUUUGGUUUGCCCUUUUUAAUCAGAUCCACAAAGGAAGCUCGUUUGGCUUUUGCUGUCUAUGGACUUUUAAGAAUGUCACAGUUUAUCCAUGCAUGAUCUGUGCAGUGAGACCAUGAGGCUGGUGGGUUUGGCUUGUUUCUUUCUACUGAUGCUGCUUCUGCUGCUGUUACAGAGCUUUUCUUCUGCCACUGAGGAGUCAGGAAAAUUUCAACACUUUAAAACUGGGUACAUGUCCAAGUUCAAUUCCGUUCAAGAUAAACAAGGUUUUAGGCAGAAUUCAGGUGAGGGUGGUAGUGAGGCAAUUCUAGGUGAUGAGAAAAGAAAAAUCUACACAGGUCCUAAUCCUUUGCAUAACAGAUAAGUGGAACAUUCAUUCAGAUCUUUUGGCCUUUUCUUCUUUAGUGUUUUAAGCUCUUACAUUGAUAAGAAACGAGAAAGUUGAUCAACAUACAAAGUAAAAUUUCUACGGAUCGAGCUCUUGAAGGUUUUGGGUUGGAAUUAGUUAGUUCCUUGUGUAAAUUGAGUUUAGUCUAGUUGGUGCUAUGUCUCCCCCCAAUAAAUUAUCUCCUGAAUAGACCUAUCACUUAUGUAGAGUAUUUUCUUCACUUUUUCACAUGUUCUUGUUAGAAUAAGCUGUUAGUUUUGAUAGAUUAGUUUCUUCUGGUCCUGUAGCUUUUAGUUACAUGUAACAACUCCAUACUAAAGAAAACAAUUUUGACUCCAGAGCAAUUGUUUUACACUAUUUUUUUCCAAAUCCAUUAAAUAAGAACAGAUAUAUAUGACUGUGUGCUGUCGCAGUGACUGUUUGAAAUCUUCUGUCAAGGUUUUUUAUUAGUUUCUUCAAAAGUGCAUUCAUAUGGGAAUUGGAUUUGUGCAAAGUUUUACAUGCCAAGGCUAUUUAUUUAUCAGACAAUUAAUCUUGUAAUCAGAGGGAAGCUUUACACUUGGUACUGAUGUGAUUUCAAAUUUUGAUAACAGUUCAGAAAUUAGAUUCAGAAUGGGUUUACCCUUUAUCACUACCACCUCGUAGCACAUGAAUUUUGAUGCUGGAAUCAUACUCAUACUUUGGUGAAAUAUGAGAAUAAGACCUCAACGCUGAUUCUGAUCCAGCCGUCAACCCUUUCUCCCUCUCACGAAGAGCUCUGCUAGGGUUAGGUUUCUGCCAUCUUCAAGCUAGCUCGAAGCUGUUCUCUACUCCAUUACCCUUUCAGCUCCUCUAUUCGUCCUUGAGCUGCUGUGUUCGCACGCUUGGCUGCCGAAGUCUCUUAUUUCCCUUCCAGAUGGGCGAGGUUCCAGAAGUCAGCAAGGAAGUGGAGAUUCUGGUGCAUAGUCCGUGUGGACUAGUUAUUAUUUUUGCAUGAGUUCAUUUAGGGUUGCGACCCAUGUAUCUGUUCGUCCUUAGUUUUAUGCACUAUGGUUAACUUUUCCUCUAGUUUCUUUUGGGCAUCGUGGUAUGCCAUGGGUUGUAUAGAGUUGAUCCCAAACCGCGUUUUUAUGUUAUCUUUAUUGUGACAUUCCUUUAA